rnacentral:rRNA from 1 species
GCACAAGCGGUGGAGCAUGUGGUUUAAUUCGAUGCAACGCGAAGAACCUUACCAGGGUUUGACAUCCUGCGAAUCCCUUGGAACGAGGGAGUGCCUUCGGGAACGCAGUGACAGGUGGUGCAUGGCUGUCGUCAGCUCGUGUCGUGAGAUGUUGGGUUAAGUCCCGCAACGAGCGCAACCCACGUCGUUAGUUGCCAGCAUUUAGUUGGGCACUCUAGCGAGACCGCCGGUGAUAAACCGGAGGAAGGUGUGGAUGACGUCAAGUCAUCAUGCCCCUUACAUCCUGGGCUACACACGUACUACAAUGCUACGGACAAAGGGCAGCAAACUCGCGAGAGCUAGCAAAUCCCAUAAACCGUGGCUCAGUUCAGAUCGUAGGCUGCAACUCGCCUACGUGAAGGAGGAAUCGCUAGUAAUCGCAGGUCAGCAUACUGCGGUGAAUACGUUCCCGGGC